GCAUCAACCUUCUUAGCUCAGUUGGGAGAGCAUGAGACUCUUAUUCUGAAGGUUGCGAGUUUGAGCCCCAUGUUGGGCA